rnacentral:rRNA from 1 species
UACGUAGGGGGCUAGCGUUGUCCGGAAUCAUUGGGCGUAAAGAGCGCGUAGGCGGCCCGGUAAGUCCGCUGUGAAAGUCGGGGGCUCAACCCUCGAAUGCCGGUGGAUACUGUCGGACUAGAGUACGGAAGAGGCGAGUGGAAUUCCUGGUGUAGCGGUGAAAUGCGCAGAUAUCAGGAGGAACACCAAUUGCGAAGGCAGCUCGCUGGGACGUUACUGACGCUGAGACGCGAAAGCGUGGGGAGCAAACAGG